rnacentral:rRNA from 1 species
UACAGAGGUGGCAAGCGUUGUUCGGAAUUACUGGGCGUAAAGGGCGCGUAGGCGGUUCGUUAAGUCCUGUGUGAAAUCCCCCGGCUCAACUGGGGAACUGCACAGGAAACUAGCGGGCUUGAGUUCGGGAGAGGGAAGCGGAAUUCCGGGUGUAGCGGUGAAAUGCGUAGAUAUCCGGAGGAACACCGGUGGCGAAGGCGGCUUCCUGGACCGGCAUUGACGCUGAGGAGCGAAAGCCAGGGGAGCAAACGGG